ACAUCAACUGAAUCAGGAUCUCAGGUGGUGAGUCCCGGGCAUUGACAGGAAAACAAAUAAACUAUCCAGGUGAUCUUAACGAGAGCCAGGCUUCAAAUCCACUGAUCAUUCAGAGCGGGAGAGGGGCCACAAACAUGAAGGCAAGAGGAGUUGGGUGCCACUGAUCACUAUUAUUUGAGAGCAAAAAGACAUCUUCCAAGCCCAAGGAACAAGACAAACAAACCAGCUUCUGAGGUGGGCCCCACCCAAUCAGUUGAAGACCUUACUAGAACAAAGACUAACUUCCCUUAAGUAAGAAGAAAUUCUGCCAAAAGACUGCCUUUGGACUCAGACUGAAACUCUCCCCUGGGUCUCCAGCCUGCCCACCUACCCUGAAGUUUUGGACUUAGGAAAGACUGAAAGCCUCCACAAUCAUGGGUUUCCUGUCACCACACCCUCAGGAUGGAGAUUUUACUAUGUUAUUGUAGUACAAGGAAGGAGUAACGUGAACCUCAGCCUACUCUGUCAGCCAUCUUGGGCCUGUCUGGUUUGAUCCGGUUUCUUGUGGUUUCGUUUUGGAGUGCUGCCAAGGCGGUCCUAUGACUUCCUUGUAACUGGCGUGACUUCCUUGUUGCUGGACUUCUUGAAUCUUGUUACAGCCUAACCAACUGCUGACGCUAACAAUAAAUGAGUUAAUUAA